GUACUCUGCUUAGUCUGGCAGCACAUAUACUAAAACUGGAACGAUAUGGAGAUUGGCAUGGCCCCUGUGCAAGGAUGACAGGAAAAUUCAGGAAACAUUCCAUAUAUUU
ensembl:snRNA U6 U6 spliceosomal RNA